GGAAGGAACUAUUGGCCAACAUUUAUAAACGUUAUCAGUAGGUUUCAAAAUAAAUGUAUUUGAAACUUAUUCCAACGUAGCCAAUAGGUGUUACUGUUUGACAUGUACAAAAGGGAACUCUUUGCCAACGUUUAUAAACGUUGUCACUAGGUUUCAAAGAAAGAAACGCAUAGAAACGCACAGUUCCAUCAACUUGUUUGCGGAAUGCGCGACCACUUGAAUGCAGACAAGACCCUCUUUUCUAACUGUCACUUAGGUGAAUUACUGCAGUAACAUCGUCGGUUCACUUUGUAAUUUUUAUAUGUGGUAACAUUAGCUUUUAAUUAUGUAAUCAGUGUUGAUGUUAGAUUAUUAAACAACUGAAUGCCUGGAGUUAGGAAGCUAAGUUAACUACAGAAGCCAGCCAGAAGCCAGCCAACAAGCCAGUCAACGAACCAGCUGCAGCCCUUGGUAACUUACUCUUUGUAAGAGUCUUCCUCCUCCUCCAGCCACCUAACAUAAGGAUAUAAUGGAUAGAGCGAGAGAAUGCUGCUAUUACAGGAAAUGGAUUGCCUCAAGGAGAAAACUACUAAAGGACUGUAGCUUAAAUAGGCCAGGCCAAGAAAGGCAUAUUGAUCCUGCGGAGUCAGAAAUUGCUAUGGAAUGCACACCAAGUCCUUAUGACUUAGACACAUCAAACGAAAUCAGAGAAAUUGACAAUCAUGGAGCCAACAAUGAUGAUGAUGAUGGGGAAAUCAGUGAAGGGGACAUUCAUGGAGCCGAUGAUGAUGAUGAUGGGGAAAUCAGUCAAAGGGAUAUUUAUGGGGACUCAAACAAUGACACAGUGAUGGAAUCCACUCUAAGAGAAGACUUAGCCUCUUGGCUUGUUGUAAAUAAUAUAAAGCACACCGAAGUAUCUCAAGAUACUGAAAAAACAUGGAGUUCAUGAUCUGCCAUGUAGUGCACGUACACUGUUAAAAAAUGAUAAACAUGUGCAGGUCGAAAUGAAGUCUGGCAUUGACUAUGUGUUUUUGGGAAUAGAGAACAUGCUGAAGAAGAUCUUAGACAAGUCUCCCAAUUGCUUCACAGAUGAGACUGAGUAUUUGAAUGUGUCUGAAUGUUGAUGGACUACCCCUAUUCAAAAGCUCAAAAAACGUUACCUGGUCUGUGUUGUGUGGUCUCAACACCCCACCGAUAGUUUUCCCAGUUGCACUGUCAUGUGGAAAUUCUAAACCGAAUGACCGCAACUUUCUUAAUGAUACCAUACAAGAGAUGAAGAAGCUCCAAGAUGAGGGAAUGGUGUAUCGAGGCAGGCAAGUAAAAAUACUUCUGACAUGUGAUCAUGUCAGAAGGAGGGUUCAAACAAUUCUCAGGAUACUACAGAUGUGAGAGAUGCACCCAGAAGGGAGUCUGGCUUGGGUGAGUUACAUAUCAGGCUGUAUAAGACCUAAAGGCAUGCACUGACAGCACACUCAACAAGAACAUCACCAACAGAUGUCUCUAUUCAUAGAGUUUGACAUUGACAUGGUGAAGGCCUUUCCAGUAGACUAUAUGCAUCAGGCUUGUCUGGGUGUCACAAAGAAGUUGAUUCUGACUUGGAUGCAUGGAAAGAGGGAAACAAGAAUGUCUAGGAGUCAUAUUGCAAAUAUCAGUGCCCGCAUGUUGGAGCUGAAACCGGCAGUGCCCAAUAUCUUUGCUCGUAAGCCUAGGAGUCUAGAUGAAAUCGAAAGGUGGAAAGCCACUGAAUUCCACCAAUUCAUGCUGUACAUGGGUAAACUUGUACUUAAGGGUAUCCUACAACCUAUAUAACGAGGCUAUAUACAGGGGGCACCAGUACCGAGUCAGUGUGCGGGGAUACAGUCUAGUUGAGGUAAUCUGUACAUGUAGGUGGGGUUG